rnacentral:piRNA from 1 species
UGAAACAGAUUAUCUCAUGCCAAGCGUGCC